GUAAAAGAACACAGUCUGCAGUGUACUUACAUUCCAAGUGGCAGUAAAGCUAAUAAAAAAGAAAAACAAUUGGCCGUUCUAUGAAAGUUUACGCUUUUUAGUGCCAACAAUAAAUUAUAGAAAAACUAAAAGUAAUAUUGAAAACGUACAUCCAAAUGUACUAUCACCUUCAGCAGAACAAAAAGAGGAAUUUAAUUUUUCAUCUGUUCCUGGUGUGAGCAGCAGAAAAGAAAAUAAUAUUUCACAGCAAUCAAUAUCACAAAGUACCAGUAGUUUACUAAAAUCUCAAAACUUUCAGUCAAAACAAAUUUCUUAUCAAAUUCCGCAAAUUCUGAUAUUCUUAAGGAAGAAGAGCUAGUAUGUACAACAAAACGCAAUAAUAGUGCAAGAUCUACUCCAGAUUCAGAAGCUUUGCUUCAUUCACCUUUACCUCCAAAACGCAUAAAGAAAUCAAAAACAGUUGAAAAUAUAGACACCCGUUUAGAACAGGCAAUUUUGAAAGAGUUGGAGCAAAUGAAAC